GCAAAUUGUGAUUUAUUUUUUUAUUUAAAAUUUUUGAAAAUUAUUUAACAAUAAUUCAGCCUCCCAAUAAUUGAAAGAAAUUUUCAUAUUUACAUUCAAAAAUAUUCAGUUAUAGGGAAAAAAAUAUAUAUCCUGCACAAUCAAAUCUAGUCCAACUUAAAAAAAAAAAAAAAAAAUGAGCCCUGCAAGAGUCUGCAACAACUCCCACCUGGCUUGUAUAUUAUUCAUUUGAAGUCAAUUGUCCUUAGAAGCAAGAAAGCCAAUAGCAAAACUGAAGUUGUGAGAUGAUGAAAACAUCAUCAGGAUCGAGAGAGAAUUGAAUCCCUAGUUUGAAUCAAACGUGUAUAACAUGCAAAGCUGCAUUUUUUUCGUGUCUCGUCACAACUGUCAACUUCUCCUUCUUUCUCUCCAUCUCACCGCUCCUUUUCCUUUUCGCAUUAAUAUCUCUCAACAUCCGUUUACAAUUAAGAGUGGGUUCUACACACUUCUCUUCCAAGUGAAUAAAGCAUAAAACCACCGAAAAGGGGAUGCCGACAAAUGUUUGCUUAGGAAAGAGGCGGACCUGUGGAUCGCAUGCACUCUCCUUAUCAAUACAUUUCUCCUCAACCUCGUCCUCCAUUAUAAAUUCUUCUUCAUCUUCUCUCUCAUUUUUUUUUAAUCUAUUAUUUGGGGUCGUCGUCUUCAUCGUCUUCUUCUUCUCCUUGCUGCUCCUUUGAUAUGUUUAAUUAGAAAGAAAUAAUAUUUGCGACUUCCUAUGGCUGUGACUUAUGUACUAGUAGUGGUCAAGCAAAAAACAAAGUUUCUGAAGUGGUUAUUAACGUAGCAAUACUAGUGUAGCACAGACUUUGCCAGUUUCGUUGCAGUCUUGCAGAUUUUACAGACCUUGUGAUUGUCAUUUACUCAUGGCACAUGUAAGCAAUGCUCAAAACUUCCUCUUUAUCUGGCUUUUCUUUUUCUUUUCCUUUUUCUUUUUCAUAUAUCUUGGACUUUGCCAUAUUACACGAUCAUCUUUCAUCAUUUCUUUAAAACAAAUUCCUUAGUUUUUGCGAGUUACAUAUGUAUUAUAAAUCAUUUUGCAGUCAAUUAAUUAAAGCUUAAUUUUUCUUUUAUUUUUUCCUCAUUGAGGAAAGAAAUAAAAAUAUACGACUGCCAGGGAAGGGAUGAGUGAUGAGAUGAGGGUGGUGGUAACUGGGUAUCUAGUGGAAAGUGGAAAGAAAGCCAAAGCCAAAGGCUAAGCACAUCACAAAGUUGUAGACAAUAGCAGAUGUUGGAGAAAGGCGAGUAAUGAAUAGAGAGGCAACUACCAAGGACCAUUUGAAGCUGUCGGAAAAAUUAUCUCAACUUCGGUCUCAUGUUGUGUUGUUGGUUUGCUUUUUGUUCUGUUCCGUUGAGAGACAUGUGGGCUCUGCUCCAAUU
rnacentral:misc_RNA from 1 species